rnacentral:tRNA from 1 species
GGGCUGCUAGCUUCAAUUGGAUAGAGCGCUGCGCUUCGGACGCAGAGGUUGGGGGUUCGAGUCCCUCGUGGCCCG